rnacentral:rRNA from 1 species
UGCCAGCCGCCGCGGUAACACGGGGGGCGCAAGCGUUAUUCGGAAUCAUUGGGCGUAAAGGGCGCGCAGGCGGCCAGUUAAGUCAGAUGUGAAAUCCCGGGGCUCAACCCCGGAAGUGCAUUUGAAACUAAUUGGCUUGAGUAUGGGAGAGGGAAGUGGAAUUCCUGGUGUAGCGGUGAAAUGCGUAGAUAUCAGGAGGAACACCGGUGGCGAAGGCGACUUCCUGGACCAAUACUGACGCUGAGGCGCGAAGGCGUGGGGAGCAAACGGGAUUAGAUA